GGGUUGUGAGGUUAAGCGACUAAGCGUACACGGUGGAUGCCCUGGCAGUCAGAGGCGAUGAAGGACGUGCUAAUCUGCGAUAAGCGUCGGUAAGGUGAUAUGAACCGUUAUAACCGGCGAUUUCCGAAUGGGGAAACCCAGUGUGUUUCGACACACUAUCAUUAACUGAAUCCAUAGGUUAAUGAGGCGAACCGGGGGAACUGAAACAUCUAAGUACCCCGAGGAAAAGAAAUCAACCGAGAUUCCCCCAGUAGCGGCGAGCGAACGGGGAGCAGCCCAGAGCCUGAAUCAGUGUGUGUGUUAGUGGAAGCGUCUGGAAAGGCGUGCGAUACAGGGUGACAGCCCCGUACACAAAAAUGCACAUGCUGUGAGCUCGAUGAGUAGGGCGGGACACGUGGUAUCCUGUCUGAAUAUGGGGGGACCAUCCUCCAAGGCUAAAUACUCCUGACUGACCGAUAGUGAACCAGUACCGUGAGGGAAAGGCGAAAAGAACCCCGGCGAGGGGAGUGAAAAAGAACCUGAAACCGUGUACGUACAAGCAGUGGGAGCACGCUUAGGCGUGUGACUGCGUACCUUUUGUAUAAUGGGUCAGCGACUUAUAUUCUGUAGCAAGGUUAACCGAAUAGGGGAGCCGAAGGGAAACCGAGUCUUAACUGGGCGUUAAGUUGCAGGGUAUAGACCCGAAACCCGGUGAUCUAGCCAUGGGCAGGUUGAAGGUUGGGUAACACUAACUGGAGGACCGAACCGACUAAUGUUGAAAAAUUAGCGGAUGACUUGUGGCUGGGGGUGAAAGGCCAAUCAAACCGGGAGAUAGCUGGUUCUCCCCGAAAGCUAUUUAGGUAGCGCCUCGUGAAUUCAUCUCCGGGGGUAGAGCACUGUUUCGGCAAGGGGGUCAUCCCGACUUACCAACCCGAUGCAAACUGCGAAUACCGGAGAAUGUUAUCACGGGAGACACACGGCGGGUGCUAACGUCCGUCGUGAAGAGGGAAACAACCCAGACCGCCAGCUAAGGUCCCAAAGUCAUGGUUAAGUGGGAAACGAUGUGGGAAGGCCCAGACAGCCAGGAUGUUGGCUUAGAAGCAGCCAUCAUUUAAAGAAAGCGUAAUAGCUCACUGGUCGAGUCGGCCUGCGCGGAAGAUGUAACGGGGCUAAACCAUG
rnacentral:rRNA from 1 species